rnacentral:rRNA from 1 species
GACGAACGCUGGCGGUGUGCUUAACACAUGCAAGUCGAACGGUAAGGCCCUUUCGGGGGUCCACGAGUGGCGAACGGGUGCGUAACACGUGAGUAACCUGCCCUCAUCUCUGGGAUAACAGUCGGAAACGGUUGCUAAUACUGGAUAUGAGCUUGCAAGGCAUCUUGUGGGUUGGAAAGAUUUUUUUUGGUUGGGGAUGGACUCGCGGCCUAUCAGCUUGUUGGUGGGGUAGUGGCUCACCAAGGCUUCGACGGGUAGCCGGCCUGAGAGGGCGACCGGCCACAUUGGGACUGAGAUACGGCCCAAACUCCUACGGGAGGCAGCAGUGGGGAAUAUUGCACAAUGGACGGAAGUCUGAUGCAGCAACGCCGCGUGCGGGAUGACGGCCUUCGGGUUGUAAACCGCUUUCAAUUGUGACGAAGCUUUUUUGUGACGGUAGCAGUAGAAGAAGCACCGGCUAACUACGUG